rnacentral:rRNA from 1 species
AUACGGAGGAUGCAAGCGUUAUCCGGAAUGAUUGGGCGUAAAGGGCGCGUAGGCGGCCCGGUAAGUCUGGAGUGAAAGUCCUGUUUUUAAGAUGGGAAUUGCUUUGGAUACUGUCGGGCUUGAGUGCAGGAGAGGUAAGUGGAAUUCCCAGUGUAGCGGUGAAAUGCGUAGAGAUUGGGAGGAACACCAGUGGCGAAGGCGACUUACUGGACUGUAACUGACGCUGAGGCGCGAAAGUGUGGGGAGCAAACAGGAUUAGAUACCCUGGUAGUCCACACUGUAAACGAUGAACGCUAGGUGUAGGGGGUAUCGACCCCUUCUGUGCCGCAGUCAACGCAAUAAGCAUUCCGCCUGGGGAGUACGGCCGCAAGGUUGAAACUCAAAUGAAUUGACGGGG